UACGAAGGGGGCUAGCGUUGCUCGGAAUCACUGGGCGUAAAGGGUGCGUAGGUGGCCAACUAAGUCAGACGUGAAAUCCCUCAGCUUAACUGGGGAACUGCGUCUGAUACUGGAUGGCUUGAGUUUGGGAGAGGGAUGCGGAAUUCCAGGUGUAGCGGUGAAAUGCGUAGAUAUCUGGAGGAACACCGGUGGCGAAGGCGGCAUCCUGGACCAAUACUGACACUGAGGAGCGAAAGCCAGGGGAGCAAACGGG
rnacentral:rRNA from 1 species